UACGAAGGGGGCUAGCGUUGCUCGGAAUUACUGGGCGUAAAGGGCGCGUAGGCGGAUAUCUAAGUUGGGGGUGAAAUCCCGGGGCUCAACCUCGGAAUUGCCUUCAAAACUGGAUAUCUUGAGUUCGGGAGAGGUGAGUGGAACUCCGAGUGUAGAGGUGAAAUUCGUAGAUAUUCGGAAGAACACCAGUGGCGAAGGCGACUCACUGGUCCGGUACUGACGCUGAGGUGCGAAAGCGUGGGGAGCAAACAGG
rnacentral:rRNA from 1 species